rnacentral:lncRNA from 1 species
GCAGUCAAUUAGGAUGAAGGUAUUCCGUCAAGACCUUCAAUUCUUGCUGGGCUUAUCUCUUUUCUUCACGUUUGAACUAGCCUGCGUGCUUGCUUUAAAAGGCCGACGGAUGUCAAAUAUUACGGAAUUGAUCGUGACAUUUCCUCAAAUUCCGCGCGAGGGAACAACGCCCCGAUCGCCAGGAGGACGAACACCGCUUUUUUCUAUACUAUUUCAGAG